rnacentral:rRNA from 1 species
CAGGUCUUGGUCAGGUACAGACUCUGCUGCAAACCUUCCCACAGGCUAAAGUAGCGUGGAAAACGUUACAAAGGAUUCUGCCUACUCGGAUCUCCAUGGUCUUGUUAUGUUAAGUUAGAGAAGAGUACAAAGACGUUCUCAUCUAUGUCACAUGACACAACCUAUACGACUGAGCAAAACUCCCUCGAUCUUUUAGACACCACGAAGGACCUUAGUGCAAUAAGUUCCAUUUUGGUCGGUUCAACAAGAGAAGCUACAAGAAACGUAAUCUAAUUAUAUUUAGUACAAGGAUCGUUUCAUGAUAAGAUAAUGUUAGAAAAUCUCAACAUCAUCGGCCUCUAAGUAAAAGUUCAAACUUGGGGAUAGGAUAAUAAAUACAAACUCGUACAAGAAGAACAAAGACAUGCUCAUGGAGAUUAAAUUGAGAGAUUUUCGAGGGUUCGUUUUCUUCCGAACGACGCAGGAUUUUUUCUAAGAGGAACAAACGAAUACGAACACAACGAAGGACGGAUGACGAAACCAUGUUUAUAUACGUACAAUCAAACAGAGACUACACAACAUCCCGCACGGGUCGAAAGAAUCGAAGAAUGGUUAAGAACCAAGAUCCUAGGUCAUCUGAUCCACUAGUAAAAAAUAUAUACGGGUUUGGUUGCGUACGACGACAUUAUAUACACGAAGUCUUAACCGUCUCGUGGUGAACGACAUAUGUAUACGUUUGUCAUUAAGAACAACGAGUGGUUAUACUCCAUAUCAACACCCUUAGGACUUGACUUCAACCCCUAACGACUACACUUUACCGCCGCAGUGCUCGGUCUACCAGUGGUACCUCUGGUAUUCGUCGGGUCGUCGUCGUUAGGUUGUAUUUACGUAUUUUGUUCGUACUCGCCUGUGUGCGUCGUUAUUCGUACCCUUAUCUUCACCUAUCGGUACCUUGGACAACGCGCCCCUCGCGGUCAGUCGGACCGCCUGGACACUGCAUUCGUGCUGCGAUCUAGUCUGUGUGAGUGCCAGUAACCGCACACGCGACCUAGCCGUCGGGAGCCGACUAUGUUCGUUGAACGUACUACACCAGCGAACCAGAUAGGUAGUUGUAAUAUAGAGGAAGUAGUUAAUCAAAAGAGUAUAAAGAAUAAUACUUCCGAUCCUUGAUCCGACUUUAUGUGUAUACAAAAUCAAAAACGAAAAGAAUUACGUCUACACCUUCUAGAUUUUAGGAGACACUUUCUAAAACCAAGACGCCUUCGGUUACUAGACCGUGACCCUGGAAUUGAAGACCUCACUUGCUGACGCCCUUAGUUUUAUGUUAUAACUACUCCAAGAAAGAAAUGUCUUUAGCUAAUGUUAUAAUUACUUUAAUCGAGGACCGGUAACGUAUAAAGGUAUGAAUAACCUUAAGCCAAAAUAGUAAUUAACAACUAAAUUGAAAAAUCGAGACUACAUACUCUUUUGAUAGACGUAAAGAAUAGAUAGUACCUAUACGACUAUAUAACGAGAUGAUUUUCCUUAACAACCGGAUUCUACAAUAAUAUAUGCACUGUACAAUAACCGAUUUAUACUAAGUAUGAAAUGUUUGAGGAAUGUCGACCUCAUCCUAGGUUACUUGUCUACUACUUUUUAUUUAAUUCGUGAACGAAACUAAACAAGUUUAAAAAUGUCUUUGACAAUCUUGUGUGAAAAGAAACGUUCGGCCUAUGUUUCUCCUUACACAAUUUAUAUACCUUCUAUUUUAAUAAACGUUCGUUUGAGACGAACAAACGGUAUAAAACGCGUGGCAGAAUUUUAAUAAACAGGUUACCUUCCUGAGAGACGUUGUAGUUAAGGUCAUACAACGAAAUCAACAAGACACACUACGUUCCAUUAUAAAAAGAACGUUAAAAACGUAGAAAAUGGAAAAGUGAAGACAACUCUCUUUGUACAACAAAGAAUUCUUCUAUAACAAAUAUUCUGCCUUGUUAUGAGUGGUAUAUACUAUAAGAAGGUGGUUUAUUUAUAAAAAACUCACGUUGAUUUUAGCAAAAGGAAGAGUAAGUACUAUGACACCAGACUGUAUCGACUACCUACAAGUCCAAAGAGAUAAUUAACGUUACGGAAGAUCUACAAGAUGAUAUCACAAUAAACAGACACGAAAUUAUAGGUAAGACGUACACAAGAAAACAAAUAAAAGUUCUAUAGGACCGAGAGACCUUAUACGGGACAAGUCGACUUUCCUACAUAACGUUAAUACGUCUCUCUAGCUUAACAAGCCUGAGGUCACGGUGAAAGUCAAAAGAUUAAAAACGUCCCUAUAACUCACUCCCGACCAGAUUUGAAAUUCUCUUAUUGAAUAAUGUAAGACCCUAGUGGUUGAAAACCGCAAAAGAGCCUGAUCCAUCCAUCCUGGUAAUCGUUAAGAGGACUAAACGAACGUUCUAACUAAAUACUUUUAUAGUACCAGCAAUAUAAAGCCAAACGACGAUUAAAGUAACUUAUACAAAACUACCUAGGAAAAAUUCGAAAGUAGGAAAUGGUAAACAUUUUCAUUGAUUGUGUAAGCACUAACUUAAAAACUUACCAAUUACCCUUGUGAUAUCCAGAACAAAGAAGCGAAAAAAUUACAAGGUAUAUAAAAAGUACAUGUAUGGUAUCACACGUAAGUUGGUAGAUGCUUCGAAGUACUGACUAAUUUACAAUGUCGACGAUUACAAUAACACAAAGUACCUAGUUCAAAAAGAAAGACAAAGGCGUAACUGCACAACAAAGUUACCAUCUCAAUCAAAAAAAACGCCCUUACCAUCUCAAUCAAUGCUGACCACAAAAGGAACGCAGGGACGGCGGGACCGAUGUCGAACAAUACGGUUAACACCGUCUCACUUCCCUCCCUCUCUGAUUUUAUUAACAUCAAGACUCUGUAUUUACACAGUUGUCUCGAAUACCAAAGGUGACGCCAAAAAGAGUUUAUUGGUUAUAUACAGACGUAAGAAUUAUAAAGAACGAAGAUAAACAUUAGAAUGAUAAAAGAGGUACUAUGUGAACGAAUGGUUAUACCAUAACACAAGUCACAUACACCGGAUGGCAUAGGCACUACACCACCGUCCUUCUCCGGUCACGGUGGUAAUGACAUAGGCACAGUCGGUACCACCGUACUUCUUCGUAUUUAAGUCUCAUAACGAUACUACAAGAAGAGAUCGCAACGUCCACAUAGGCGUUUCACAGAGUAUUAUAAACCAAUUUCGGACGUUAACAAAUCCACUAUACUUGAAGGAAAUAGAACUUACCUAAACUUGAGGUCGGUUUAAGUUCACUACUUUCCAGUCAAAACACGACUAAGUGUUCAAAUCUAUAGCAGGGAGGUCACAUGAAGAACCAACUAAUUACUUUUUACGAAAGACGAGUGAAGGGGAAGGAUCUAAUCAGACACAUACUUUUCUUUUUAAGAAAAAAACAUAUUAUGAUAGCUAUGGUACCUUAUCAAAAAUACUUACUAGGAGAAAUCGAUUGUAAAUUAGUUCCAAUGGAUUUCUCUUACUAUAGUGAAGUAUUUUUGGUAAGUACUUCUCUUAGUAAGUAUUUUUGUUAAGAGAAAUACUAUCAUAAUAUGUCUUUUUCGAUUGUAAACAUAUUCCUCUUAGUAAGAGAAAUCGAUUGUAAAUUAGUACCAUAAACCACCUUGACCGACACCUCAUAAUCCAUCUAACACUAUACCACUUAAUAAACAAUCUGUGCUGUAAUGCUCGAGGAGGAAACGUCGUCAUGUACCUAAAAAACAUGUAUUUAGAGUACUCAGGUAAUACGGAAUGCAUAGACUUGGAUACUAAGAUCUCUUCUAUAUUAUAUGAAGACCUAAUGUGUUCCAUUUUAGGAGAAAGUGAUUGGGAAAGUUGAAAGUUUAUAACAGUCAACCCCGAGUGUCUUGUCUAACUCAACUAAAACAACAAGAAAACACGAUAGACCUGUCUCGAAUAACAAAAUAAGGUAAGAAUCAGAUGACUACCAUUUACUAUAUACCUUUUAGUUGUAAAGUUCCAUUUAUUUUACGGGGGUUAUACAAAGACAAGUGUACUAAUGACUGAGUACAAAGAAAAUACACUACGCUACAAGAGAAACAACGAGAGUGAAACCAAUAUAUGAUGAUUUUGAAGCAUAUUAAAAGUAAAUCUAAACCACAACAAUCGUAAUCUGCCACACGUAGUUUAUACUUUCAUCCCGGUUCGUAGUUUCCGUUCCACUUCCUUCCACGGACACACCAAGAAGACGUCGAGCGUCGCUCCUAACGACACAGGUUGGACGUGUUCUUACGGUUCUUCAGGAACCUCUGCUAAUUCCUGUACAUGGACAUGAUGUUGCUCUCUAGACCCGACGAAGAAACACCGAAGGUUUGAACUUUACAAACAAACCUUCAAUCAAAUCAAAAAACAACACCUAAGUGUGGAAGAGUGUACAUGGUAGGCCAAUCUGGAAAUCUAAAGGUUUCUUUGAUUUACUUCUAUACCACCAUACCAAAGUAAACAUGUUGAAUUUCGGAAAGUACGAAAUAUAAAAGAGCCGUUAAACGAGAACUUCUUAGUACAUAGAUACAAUCUAGGCCACUCUUUUCCGCCGAAGUUUCGUCUCCUAAGCCC